UACAGAGGGGGCCAGCGUUAUUCGGAAUUAUUGGGCGUAAAGGGCGCGUAGGCGGCCAUGCGUGUCUUCCGUGAAAUCCCUCGGCUCAACCGAGGACGUGCGGAAGAAACUGCAAGGCUCGAGUCCGGAAGAGGGGGGCGGAAUUCCUGGUGUAGCGGUGGAAUGCGCAGAUAUCAGGAGGAACACCAAUAGCGAAGGCAGCUCGCUGGGACGGUACUGACGCUAAGGCGCGAAAGCGUGGGGAGCGAACAGG
rnacentral:rRNA from 1 species